UAAACAUUGAUAGUUCAAUACACCCACUAUCCGCCAGGGAACUACGAGCAUUAGCUUAAAACCCAAAGGACUUGGCGGUGCUUAAGAUCCACCUAGAGGAGCCUGUUCUAGAACCGAUUACCCCCGUUCAACCUCACCCUCCCUUGUUUUUUCCGCCUAUAUACCGCCGUCGUCAGCUUACCCCGUGAAGGCCCAAAUAGUAAGCAAAACUGGUUUAACCCAAAACGUCAGGUCGAGGUGUAGCGCAUGAGAGGGGAAGAAAUGGGCUACAUUUACUAACCUAGUAAACACGAAUAAUAUACUGAAACGUAUACUUGAAGGAGGAUUUAGCAGUAAGCGAAAAAUAGAGCGUUCCGCUGAAACUGGCCCUAAAGCGCGCACAUACCGCCCGUCACUCUCCCCAAACUACCAACCCCUCAUAAUUAAUAUCUUAUAACUAUAAAGGGGAGGCAAGUCGUAACAUGGUAAGUGUACCGGAAGGUGCACUUGGAAAAAU
rnacentral:rRNA from 1 species